ensembl:lncRNA
GGAGAAGUUAGGGCUGUCUCAUGCUAUAAUGCCUCAGAGUUAAUUAGAAAAUAAGGGCUUAUUUCCUCACACUGAAGAACUAUUCUUCUGAGGCACUGGAUUCUGGUAAUGGUGGAACUGCAUGUUGGGUCAUAAUGGAAGAAAGGACAUUAAGGAUCUAGGAGAACAAGACAAGGCAGAAGUAAAAUGGAUGAGCCAAACAGGUCGUCUCUAACAGCUUACAUGAACUCUUCUGUGUGAGAGUUCGAACAAGUGAAGAUAUUCCUGUGCAUUCUCAAGGAGAAGAUGGGCUGUCAGCUGGCAAAAAAAAAGUGUGUCUGACUUUUGCAGAGAUGAUGUGCACUCCAAAGGGAAGGCUAAGAUACUGAAGAUGAAGAGCGAUGGAAAGCAGAGAUGAAGAAAACAGAGGUGGAAAUGAUUAGUGACCCCUACUAAGAUUCUUCAAAUUUCCUAUGUUAAUGAUAAACCAAGGAUUUCCACUGAAUUCCUACAGUUUGCACACUCUUCUGGAAAUACUCGGUACAUUGCCCUGUAACUGCUGUGAAACAGCCUCCAACACUGACUGGGUCUACCAACUUAAGGUCUGAUCCACUGGUUACAGUAACCUUUAUAGAUAUGUGGGAGGACCCCUAGAGUUCUGUCUGAAGAUUGUUAAUGAAAAGCCCAUCUUAUCAACUCAGGGGAAGAGGCUCAUACUGUCUGAAGUGGCCCAUUGUUUGGAGUUAUUCCUGGCUGAUGACUCUCACCAUCAUAAAUAUUAGGAGGGAGUGGAGACGGAGAGGACACAGGGAAAAGGGAAGAAAGCACUGACCCCAGAGAAGUCCUCCACAAAGUUCAUCUCCCCAGGAAACAAGACAAAACAGAGGUUGGUGUUUCUUCACAGAGGCCAAAUAGUCCUUCUCAAAGGCUGGUGUUGCAACAAACAUACUUCUGCAGUGUUUCCUUGUGUUUGAUUCUGUUCUGUUUAUUGGUCCAGAAGUUACAUUAAUAAGUAUAGAUUUUAUUGUUUUAAUCCAAUACAAUUUACAGUACAUUUUAUCUGACACACAGUAGGCAUAUAUGACAAGGAGAUCAUUUAUGCAAAUAAACAAUGUACUUUCUCUUCUGUUUUUAUCACUCCUUUAUGUCUAUAAUUGGCAUCAAUGUCCAAAGCCUUUAUUGACUCCAAGAGUGCCCAUUAGUACACAAAUGAUCACAUCCUCGUUUUACGCCACCAAUAAUUGAGAUUCCCUCGUUCUGAAAUGCUCUUCCUUGUGCCCCCGUGUUGAGGACGCUUCCUCUGCUCAUGUCCUCCCAUUGCUCCCGUCUUCUUGCACAUGACUCCCCAACACAAACACACUCACACACGCACACUCAUGUCACCUGUCUCUAAGAAUUCAUGCUCCCCAGACAGCUGGGAAUCUAGAGGGUGCUGCGAGCAGCCUGUAUGAGGGUGUAACGCACAUGUGCCAAGGGGCAGGAGUUAAGUUGAAAUUCAGAUGCAAAGACAGGGACAUAGAACAGGACAGAGGGCGCAGAGACCCUGAGCCCUGGAGCCCGGGGUGUUUGAGGCCUAGGGAAGGGAAGGGAGGAGUAGUCAAGGAUGAUGGUGAGGAACUAACCCAGCUACACUACAGUACGUUCAACUCAAGACUUCCCAACAUCCAAAUCAGCUUUCCCUUAAAAUCACUAAGCCAAGUUUGCCUUCAGGACUGUAGGAAUCUUUUCAUUUGAAAGUUUUGUUAUUUGUAGUAUUUGAGUCAUAUAAAGGAAUGUAGUGUAAGUUUUGUCACAUAAUGAUGACAUAAAUACUUGUGGCACAAAGAUCACCCGUCAGUGGUAGACCUUUUAUCUCAGUUCCUUCUAACUCUCACAGUUACCUGGAAUUCCUUUUAGAGAACACACAAGCUUUCAGGCUAGACAUUGAAAGGAAGGCUAAAGCUGUAGCUACCGGGGACAGUUGACAC